AGGGGGCUAGCGUUAUCCGGAUUUACUGGGCGCUAAAGGGUGCGUAGGUGGUUUCUUAAGUCAGAGGUGAAAGGCUACGGCUCAACCGUAGUAAGCCUUUGAAACUGGGAAACUUGAGUGCGGGAGAGGAGAGUGGAAUUCCUAGUGUAGCGGUGAAAUGCGUAGAUAUUAGGAGGAACACCAGUUGCGAAGGCGGCUCUCUGGACUGUAACUGACACUGAGGCACGAAAGCGUGGGGAGC
rnacentral:rRNA from 1 species